rnacentral:rRNA from 1 species
AACGAACGCUGGCGGCAUGCCUAACACAUGCAAGUCGAACGAGACCUUCGGGUCUUGUGGCGCACGGGUGCGUAACGCGUGGGAACCUGCCCUUAGGUUCGGAAUAACUCCCCGAAGGGGGUGCUAAUACCGGAUAAUGUCUUCGGACCAAAGAUUUAUGGCCUUUGGAUGGGCCCGCGUUGGUUUAGCUAGUUGGUAGGGUAAAAGCAUACCAAGGCGACGAUGCAUAGCUGGUCUGAGAGCAGGAUCAGCCACACUGGGCCUAAGACACGGACCAGACUCGUACGGAGGGCAGCAGUGGGUAACAUGAGAGAAGGGACGAUAGCCUGAUCCAGCCAUGCCGGGUGAGUGAUGAAGCCCUUAGGGUUGUAAAGCUCUUUUUCCCGGGGUGAUAAUGACAGUACCGGGAGAAUAAGCACCGGCUAACUCCGUG